rnacentral:tRNA from 1 species
GGACAGGUAGUGUAGUGGUAACAUAUUGCAUCCAAAUGUAAAGAGAAGCUGUUCGAUUCCCUUCCGGUCCA